GGGGGAUAUUGCGCAGUGGGGGCAACCCUGACGCAGCAACGCCGCGUGAAGGAUGAAGGUUUUCGGAUUGUAAACUUCUUUUAUUAAGGACGAAACUUGACGGUACUUAAUGAAUAAGCUCCGGCUAACUACGUGCCAGCAGCCGCGGUAAUACGUAGGGAGCGAGCGUUGUCCGGAAUUACUGGGUGUAAAGGGAGCGUAGGCGGGAUCGCAAGUCAGAUGUGAAAACUAUGGGCUUAACCCAUAAACUGCAUUUGAAACUGUGGUUCUUGAGUGAAGUAGAGGUAAGCGGAAUUCCUAGUGUAGCGGUGAAAUGCGUAGAUAUUAGGAGGAACAUCAGUGGCGAAGGCGGCUUACUGGGCUUUAACUGACGCUGAGGCUCGAAAGCGUGGGGAGCAAACAGGAUUAGAUACCCUGGUAGUCCACGCCGUAAACGAUGAUUACUAGGUGUGGGGGGACUGACCCCUUCCGUGCCGCAGCAAACGCAAUAAGUAAUCCACCUGGGGAGUACGACCGCAAGGUUGAAACUCAAAGGAAUUGACGGGGGCCCGCACAAGCAGUGGAGUAUGUGGAUUAAUUCGAAGCAACGCGAAGAACCUUACCAGGUCUUGACAUCGUAUGCAUACCUCAGAGAUGAGUGAAAUCUCUUCGGAGACAUAUAGACAGGUGGUGCAUGGUUGUCGUCAGCUCGUGUCGUGAGAUGUUGGGUUAAGUCCCGCAACGAGCGCAACCCUUACUGUUAGUUGCUACGCAAGAGCACUCUAGCAGGACUGCCGUUGACAAAACGGAGGAAGGUGGGGAUGACGUCAAAUCAUCAUGCCCCUUAUGACCUGGGCCUCACACGUACUACAAUGGCGUAAACAAAGGGAAGCGAGAUUGUGAGAUGGAGCAAAUCCCAAAAAUAACGUCCCAGUUCGGACUGUAGUCUGCAACCCGACUACACGAAACUGGAAUCGCUAGUAAUCGCGGAUCAGAAUGCCGCGGUGAAUACGUUCCCG
rnacentral:rRNA from 1 species